CCUACGGGAGGCAGCAGUCGAGAAUCAUUCACAAUGGGGGAAACCCUGAUGGUGCGACGCCGCGUGGGGGAAUGAAGGUCUUCGGAUUGUAAACCCCUGUCAUGUGGGAGCAAAUUAAAAAGAUAGUACCACAAGAGGAAGAGAAGGCUAACUCUGGGCCAGCAGCCGCGGUAAUAAAGAGGUCUCAAGCGUUGUUCGGAAUCACUGGGCUUAAAGCGUGCGUAGGCUGUUUCGUAAGUCGGGGGUGAAAGGCGCGGGCCCAACCCGCGAACGGCACAUGAUACUGCGAGACUAGAGUAAUGUAGGGGGAAGCGGAAUGCUCGGUGUAGCAGUGAAAUGCGUAGAUAUCGAGAGGAACACUAGUGGCGAAGGCGGGUUCCUGGACAUUAACUGACGCUGAGGCACGAAGGCCAGGGGAGCGAAAGGGAUUAGAUACCCUUGUAGUC
rnacentral:rRNA from 1 species